GUGGAUAACCUGCCGUAUACCGGGGGAUAACACUUGGAAAUAGGUGCUAAUACCGCAUAAGCGCACGGCUCCGCAUGGGGCAGUGUGAAAAACUCCGGUGGUAUACGAUGGAUCCGCGUCUGAUUAGCUAGUUGGCGGGGUAACGGCCCACCAAGGCAGCGAUCAGUAGCCGGCCUGAGAGGGUGGACGGCCACAUUGGGACUGAGACACGGCCCAAACUCCUACGGGAGGCAGCAGUGGGGAAUAUUGCACAAUGGGGGAAACCCUGAUGCAGCGACGCCGCGUGAGUGAAGAAGUAUCUCGGUACGUAAAGCUCUAUCAGCAGGGAAGAAAAUGACGGUACCUGACUAAGAAGCCCCGGCUAACUACGUGCCAGCAGCCGCGGUAAUACGUAGGGGGCAAGCGUUAUCCGGAUUUACUGGGUGUAAAGGGAGCGUAGACGGCAGCACAAGUCUGGAGUGAAAUCCCGGGGCUUAACCCCGGAACUGCUUUGGAAACUGUGCGGCUGGAGUGCAGGAGGGGUAAGCGGAAUUCCUAGUGUAGCGGUGAAAUGCGUAGAUAUUAGGAGGAACACCGGUGGCGAAGGCGGCUUACUGGACUGUAACUGACGUUGAGGCUCGAAAGCGUGGGGAGCAAACAGGAUUAGAUACCCUGGUAGUCCACGCCGUAUACGAUGAUUACUAGGUGUCGGGGGAUCAAGGUCCUCCGGUGCCGGCGCAUACGCAUUAAGUAAUCCACCUGGGGAGUACGUUCGCAAGAAUGAAACUCAAAGG
rnacentral:rRNA from 1 species